UUUUGGAAAGCUUUUUGAUUGCAUAUUUUCUUUAGCUGAAUUUCAAUUUAAAUUGAUAUUAAUGUUGCAUAAGGAACAAUUGAGGUGGAAGAACUGUGAAAUUUAUUUUUUUGAUGUGCUAAUUUUUGUUGUCAAUUUACAUAGGUCGAUUGCAAAUUAAACAUAUUAUGAUCCGAUGCAAUUUUUUGUUUUUAUUCUCACCCUGAAUAUGUAUGGUAGCAUGAUUCUUGUACGCAAUUUUUAACUGGGAGGUAUUGUAUAGCUUUCGUCUAGUUUAUCAUACGAUUUUACAAGUUUUAGUUUUAUAUUAGAGUUUACAAUGUGAUCUUGCUUAUGUGGAUUCAUUUAACAGUUUAAAAUUUCUUUUGGCAGCACCGCGCAAUUUCAACCUAUUUGAUUUGAAAUAUGCUACUCUUUUGCCUUCUUUCUCUCAAUUCGUUCUUGAUCUCUAUUAGAUCAAAUGAUGAUCGCCUGGUGCCCGUAUAUUGUUGUAGAUUGAUUAUAGUUUUAUGAUCAGGUUAGAUUAUAAUUGUAGCAGAGAAUGAGAAUUGCUGAACUUUCAGUUAAGAAUUAUAGUUUUGUUCCAGUUUAGAUGGAUGAAUGUCAAGAUUACUUUAUCAAGUCCUUGUUGUGUUUGGUUGAAAUCAGAAGUAGCUUUUGUAUUGGUUGCUUUUGGUGUUGGUGACAGUAACUUUUGUUUCUGGUGA
rnacentral:lncRNA from 1 species